rnacentral:rRNA from 1 species
UACAGAGGUCCCGAGCGUUGUUCGGAUUCACUGGGCGUAAAGGGUGCGUAGGUGGCGAGGUAAGUCGGAUGUGAAAUCUCCAAGCUUAACUUGGAAAUGGCAUUGGAAACUACCUGGCUAGAGGUUUGGAGGGGGGACUGGAAUGCUUGGUGUAGCAGUGAAAUGCGUAGAUAUCAAGAGGAACACCGGUGGCGAAGGCGGAUCUCUGGGCCGUAACUGACGCUGAGGAGCGAAAGCAUGGGGAGCGAACAGG